rnacentral:rRNA from 1 species
UACGAAGGGUGCAAGCGUUAAUCGGAAUUACUGGGCGUAAAGGGUGCGUAGGCGGUUGUUUAAGUCUGUCGUGAAAUCCCCGGGCUCAACCUGGGAAUGGCGAUGGAUACUGGACAGCUAGAGUGUGUCAGAGGAUGGUGGAAUUCCCGGUGUAGCGGUGAAAUGCGUAGAGAUCGGGGAGGAACAUCAGUGGCGAAGGCGGCCAUCUGGGGACAACACUGACGCUGAAGCACGAAAGCGUGGGGAGCAAACAGG